rnacentral:lncRNA from 1 species
AUGAUUUCGAAUUUUACAGCUGCAAGGGCUUUUGUGAGUAGGUCCGCACGCUGUUCCUCAGAUCGUACAUGUUUUACAGUGAUUUCUCCGUUCUCUACACACUCACGUAUGAAGUGAUACCGAAUGUCUAUAUGCUUGCUUCUCCCAUGAAACACCGGAUUUUUGGCCAAGUCAAUCGCAGACUUGUUAUCAAUGAAGAGAGUGACUGGGCCAAUGUCAUACUUGGUAAUCUGAGCUAAUAAUUUCCUUAACCAAACAGCUUGACAAGCUGCAGCUGUGGCUGCCAUGAACUCAGCUUCGCAUGAAGAAAGUGCGACACAUUUUUGUUUCUGGGAUGUCCAGGUUAUCAAACUCUUGUUAAGGUAGAACACCAUGCCUCCGGUACUCUUCCUGUCCUCUAUAUUGCCAGCCAAAUCGCUGUCGGAAUAUCCAAUCAGCACUUCAUUGUCACUGUCCUGUGAGUAUACCAGUCCGAAGUCAAUCGUUCCCUUUACGUACCUGAGUAUGCGUUUUACAGCACCUUGAUGCAACUGUGUGGGUCUGUCCAUGAAUCUGCUUAGAAUGCCCACAGAAUACGCCAGAUCAGGUCUGGUGUGCACCAAGUAUCUCAAACCUCCUAUCAUACUCUUGUAUGCUGUAGGGUCUACUGCUAUUCCUUCUUCAUCUUUGUUAAUGACUUCUUUGGGGUGCAUCGGAAUCUUUGCUGAAUUACACUGCAGCAUACCAGCUUUAUUGAGGAUUUUCUUCGCGUACCCUGACUGUUUUAGCUGGAUAUAGCCAUUUCUUUGCAUGACUUCAAUGCCUAGAUAGUACGUUAGCUCCCCCAAAUCACUCAUGUCGAACCUGUGUCCCAUCUUCCUCUUGAACUCCUCAAUUUCCUUUAUGCUUGAACCUGUCACCAAGAUGUCGUCGACAUAUACGCCGACUAUAAGUACACCCUCUCCUGUUUUCUUUGUGUACACAGCUUGCUCGUAUGCACACCUGACAAAACCCAAUUCUUCUAAGCAUUUAUUCAGUUUGGAGUACCAGGCCCUUGGAGCUUGACGAAGACCGUACAGUGCUUUUAUGAGCUUAUAAACUAGAUGUUCCUUCCCAUGCUUAACAAAUCCUUCAGGCUGUCUGACGUAGACUUCUUCCUUAAUUUCUCCGUUCAGAAAAGCCGUCUUCACGUCCAGAUGGUGCACCUUCCAUUGUUCUUUUGCUGCAAUUGCGAGUAACAAUCGUAUGGUCUCAAUACGUGUGACUGGAGCGAAAACUUCAUCAUAAUCUACGCCUUGCUUCUGAACAUAUCCCUUGGCAACGAUCCUGGCCUUGUACUUCACAAUGUUCCCGUUUGCAUCUCGUUUGAUUUUGUAGAUCCACUUCAAGUCAAUGGGUUUCCUGUCUCGAGGUAGUUCUGUCAGAACCCAAGUUCCGUUUCUCUCUACUGCAUCCAUUUCUAUCUCCAUUGCCUUUGUCCAUUCACUUUCUUUCACUGCUUGUGUGUAGUUUGCUGGUUCAUCUACGCCCAUGAGGAAAAGUUCUUCAUCUUCCAACUCGAACGGCACAGUUUCAUUAUAGACAUCACUCAAGUCCCUGUACCUUCGAGAUUGUUCUGCAGAGCUUGUUGAGUUUGUAGUUGGCGUUGAUGUCGAAGCUUGUCUGGCCAAAGUCUGAGAACUCUGUGUGUGUGCUUCACUUCCAGAGAAUCUACUCGUCGAACUAUGGCUUACAAAGUUACCUGAGCCACCGUCAGCGUUUGAGUGCCUCGGUACAGGGUCUGGUGUCGACUCUUCAUUCAAACUCGAUGCAUCAUUUUCAUUGAUCUCGGUUGCUUCAUCCAAACCACCUGUAAAUACAGUGAAGGUACCGGCUGGUGACUGUGUUUCUUCCAUUUCUUUAACCCAAUUCCAAGCUCUUCUUUCUUCAAACUCUACAUCUCGGCUCACAGAAAUUGUCUUAGUCACAGGGUCAUACAGUCUGAAAGCUUUCGUACCCGAUUCUUUCCCAAGGUAGACAACUGGUUUGCUCCUGCUGUCUAGUUUUUUCAAAUUUACACCGGGCAGUUUCAUGUGGGCAACACAGCCAAAGACACGGAGAUGAUCAACAUGUGGUUUCUUUCCCGACCAGGCUUCGUAUGGCGUAAUUCCAGUUAGUGCACGUGUGGGUAGUCUAUUGAUCAAGUAAGUGGAGUGACGCACGGCCUCUCCCCAAAAAUGAUUUGGCAAGUUCAUCUCCUUCAGUAGGCUUCGUGACAUCUCAAGUAGUGUUCUAUUACGUCGCUCAACCACGCCGUUCUGCUGAGGCGAAUAGGGUGCAGAGAAGUGUCUAACAAUUCCAGUUUCCUUGCAAUACUUCGAAAACUCUUUUGAAGUGAAUUCUCCACCGUUGUCUGUUCUGAAAGUCAUGAUUUUAUUCCUUUCAGGAGUGUUCUCAACCAACACACGAAAAUUUUUGAAAGCCUCAAAUGCAUCACUUUUGUUCUUCAACAAAUAGGUCCACAUAACACGACUAUAAUCAUCAAUCAAGACAAGUAUGUAUUUAUUACCUCCUGGAGUACAUGGUGUGAUCGGUCCGCACAGGUCACCGUGGACUAGUUCAAGCGGUUUCUUUGCUGAAAAGCUCGAUUUUUGAGGGAAUGAUUUUCUGACUUGCUUUGACAUCAAACAUCCAGUGCAAACUUCAUGUUGUUGAUCUAUCUUUGGCAUUCCACAGACCAUAUUUGUCGAGGACAUGAGCUUCAUCGCCUUGAAAUUCACAUGGCCUAGGCGAGAGUGCCACAGCCAACUCUCAUUCUCAUCUCUCGACAGCAAGCACUUCGUCUCGCCGCUGUAGAUAAUGAUUUUAUACAAUCUGUUCGGAGACCGUUUGACUUUCAUGAACAAAGCACCCUGUUCUUCAUGAACCCAGAGAUACUCUCCCUUGAUAGAUAUUCUAUAUCCAUUCUCUGAGAGUUGUCCAAGACUAAUUAUAUUACUUCUAAGUGAGGGAAUAUAAUAUACCUCAGUCAGUGUCCUGUUUUCUCCAUUCUUGCACCUCAAUGUGAUUGAUCCCUUGCCUCUUAUUUGAACCAUCGAGCCAUCACCGAAUUUUACCUGACCUGUUAUCCCUGUGUCAAGUUUAUCAAAUUUCGAGUACUGGCCAGUCAUGUGGUUGCUUGCACCAUUGUCCAAGUACCACAAAUUUGAUUCCAUUUGUUCGUUUUCUCCUUGACCCAACUUCGGUUUUACUCGUUCCUCGUUGAUCACCGUACCAUUCUUUUCCCUUUCAACCAAAAGUAAGGCCGGUUCAUCGUCAGGUAUCUGGGCAAAGUGAGCCUCAUCAGUGUCUUCCCUUUCUCGUCUUGAUUUUUUGCACUCCACGGCAUAGUGACCGUAAGCGUUACAGUUGAAACAUCGCACUUUAGUUUUAUCUCGUCCUCCUCGUAUGUACCCUUUUGCCCUGUUCCUUGCAUGCGAUGUCUCGGCGUUUCCUUUGACUGAACAUUUCAUCCAUUCCUCUUUUGUAAGCAAUAGCUUGCUCUCUUCUUUUUCUCUUUCGACCCACUCCUCCCUGGUGAGAAGUAACUUUCCCUCCUUUGUCUCAGUUUGUCCCUUGAUUCUUUCUUCAUGAGCCUUCAGUGAUCCCACCGUUUCUUCCACAGUCAUUUUCUCGAUAUUUCCAAACUGUUCUAUAGUGGAGGCGAUUUGUAAAAAUUUCGAAGGGGCUGCUCUUAAGAUCUUUUUGACGACAUAGCUUUCUGCAACAGUUUCUCCCAGUGAGCGUAUGUUGGUCACCAAUCCGUUCAAUUUCAUGGUGAAGUCGUCUAUUGAGUCUGUGUCCUGCAUAGUCAUAGACUCAAACUCUGCCUUGAGGGUUUGUAUUUUUGCCGUCUUGGCUCUAUCAGCACCUUGACACAGUGUUUUGAUAGCCUCCCACGCUCCCUUGGCUGAUUCCUUGUCUGCAAUCGAGAGGAGUACGUCCUCCGGA